rnacentral:ncRNA from 2 species
UUUGGUAUGUGUAACUGGCGAAACGUAGAUCACUACGGGGGAGCACAUAUUCCAUAACAGCCGUUCGCCUGGGCAAAGUAU